GUCCACGAUGGCCGAGACCAGGCACCGAGCUUUUAACUCGACUACAGUUAUUAAACUUCAGGACA
rnacentral:tRNA from 1 species